rnacentral:rRNA from 1 species
UACGUAGGGGGCAAGCGUUGUCCGGAAUCAUCGGGCGUAAAGCGCGUGUAGGCGGUUCGGUAAGUCCGCUGUGAAAGUCGGGGGCUCAACCCUCGAAUGCCGGUGGAUACUGUCGGACUAGAGUACGGAAGAGGCGAGUGGAAUUCCUGGUGUAGCGGUGAAAUGCGCAGAUAUCAGGAGGAACACCAAUUGCGAAGGCAGCUCGCUGGGACGUUACUGACGCUGAGACGCGAAAGCGUGGGGAGCAAACAGG